UCCGAUUUAGUGUAGUUGGUUAGCACCCGGGAUUCUCCCUCCUGUAACCAGGGUUCAAAUCCCUGAGUCGGAG
rnacentral:tRNA from 1 species